rnacentral:rRNA from 1 species
UGGGGGAUAUUGCACAAUGGGCGAAAGCCUGAUGCAGCGACGCCGCGUGGGGGAUGAAGGCCUUCGGGUUGUAAACUUCUUUUGCUCUGAACAAGGCGCACCAUGGGGUGUGUUGAGUGUAGGGGUUGAUUAGCGCCGGCUAACUACGUGCCAGCAGCCGCGGUAAUACGUAGGGCGCGAGCGUUGUCCGGAAUUAUUUGGCGUAAAGGGCUUGUAGGUGGCUGGUUGCGUCUGUCGUGAAAGCUCAUGGCUUAACUGUGGGUUUGCGGUGGGUACGGGCUGGCUUGAGUGCAGUAGGGGAGGCUGGAAUUCCUGGUGUAGCGGUGGAAUGCGCAGAUAUCAGGAGGAAUACCGGUGGCGAAGGCGGGUCUCUGGGCUGUUACUGACACUGAGGAGCGAAAGCAUGGGGAGCGAACAGG